rnacentral:lncRNA from 1 species
UCCUGACCUUGUGAUCCGCCCACCUCAGCCUCCCAAAGUGCUGGGAUUACAAGCAUGAGCCACCAUGGCCAGCCUAGAGUUCUUUAAGAUAUGCGUUCCAUGGAUGCAUUACAGGAUGCCCACAGUGAUUCUUACCUGCAUGGCUACUUCUCAUGGCAGGACAAAGAAGGCAUUUUGGUUGAAUAAGAACUAAGGUUUGAACAGGAAAGAUGAGAAGAGCAGGAGAUGAGAUACCCUCUCCUCUCCUAGUCCUCCACCUCCAUCCCUCUUCAGUUUGGAUCCUGGCUGGGCUGGACCCCGCAUGUUGACAACAAGGAUGUGUUGUGUGGCAUCUUUUUAAUUAAUUUUCAUAUAUGAAUUUACAGGUAGGGUAAGGAUUUCUUCUGUGGAAAAUGGUGCUGAGAUUCCAAUCCCUGCUGAGUUGAGGUUAUAAAGCUAUGGUUGACCUGGAUGAUCUCAGUUGAAGGUCAUAUUUUGGAAACGGUAACAGUGGCUCUGGUAGGGAGUUCACAACAUGGUUGGUUCUGAGCAGGACCAACCAUGUGUUAGGGAAAAUAUUUAUUCAAUAGAAAAAUGAAUAAAAACCAGAAAGAGAAGAAGAGAAUUGCUGAUUCUGGAAAUGGCAAGGUGGCUGGUCCUGGAACUCAGCUUAGUCCACCCCUUGGCAGUUUUUAAUGUAUUCUCAGGGUAAGAUGUGUACAUGUAUUUGUAAAUGAGGCAUGAAUUUAAAGAACUGUUACUUCUGGGAACCCAGGAAGCUUUGCUGAGGGAUCUUACCCUGGAGAGCACAGUAUAAAAGAAAGUAAUUCUCUCUCUUGCCUCAUAGCAACUACUUUGGGGAAGGGACUUUACAAACAUCUGCCCCAAGGCUGGGUGACAGCUGCAUAUCUGUGCAGUGUUUGUACGGGGCAUGCAAUACUUUACACACUAGCAGGGACACCUGCAGCAUCAGUAGGUUUCUGGUCUACCAAGAGCAGUGUGAUGAUGCACUCCAGGCCAGCUGGGGUGGUUGCUGUGGCGAGUAACAUUGUUAAUUCUACCAACACAGGGGGCUGAUGGGUAAAUGACACUGUUGGCAUCAGCAGUGGGCAUGGUGUGCUAACCCUUAACACUGUGCCAGGUGGGGAUGUUGGACCCAGUGGGGAUUACAGUUUUGCUAUCUGUGUGUAAGAACAAUGCUCAGAACAGUGUGCAGCAUGGGUUGUGCAGUGCACGACAGGGGCAUGUGUGAGCACUCAGCAGAUUAUUGGAACUCCUUGGAAAACUGGACCAAGACCUCCAAGGCAGAAGGGUGCUUGGGGAUAUCACUGGAACUGUGAAAUAACCAUACAUAAAAACUAAGACAUUGUGAUCAAAGUA